rnacentral:misc_RNA from 1 species
AACCUAGCACACCUGCGGUGUGUACCUGCGGAGGGAUCAUUACCGAGUUUACAACUCCCAAACCCCUGUGAACAUACCUAUACGUUGCCUCGGCGGAUCAGCCCGCGCCCUGUAAAACGGGACGGCCCGCCCGAGGACCCUAAACUCUGUUUUUAGUGGAACUUCUGAGUAAAACAAACAAAUAAAUCAAAACUUUUAACAACGGAUCU